AGAGUUUGAUCCUGGCUCAGAUUGAACGCUGGCGGCAUGCUUUACACAUGCAAGUCGAACGGGGGCGGCGGGGCAACUCGCGGCUUCAGUGGCGGACGGGUGAGUAAUGCAUCGGAACGUAUCCCGUGGUAGGGGACAACCCAGCGAAAGCUGGGCUAAUACCGCAUACGCUCUAUGGAGGAAAGCGGGGGACCCUGAGAGGGGCCUCGCGCCAUGGGGGCGGCCGAUGUCCGAUUAGCUGGUUGGUGGGGUAAUGGCCUACCAAGGCGACGAUCGGUAGCUGGUCUGAGAGGAUGAUCAGCCACACUGGGACUGAGACACGGCCCAGACUCCUACGGGAGGCAGCAGUGGGGAAUUUUGGACAAUGGGGGCAACCCUGAUCCAGCCAUGCCGCGUGCGGGAAGAAGGCCUUCGGGUUGUAAACCGCUUUUGUCCGGGAAGAAAGGGUCGAGGUGAAUAACCUCGGCUGUUGCCGGUACCGGGAGAAUAAGCACCGGCUAACUACGUGCCAGCAGCCGCGGUAAUACGUAGGGUGCGAGCGUUAAUCGGAAUUACUGGGCGUAAAGCGUGCGCAGGCGGUUCGUUGUGUCCGAUGUGAAAGCCCCGGGCUUAACCUGGGAACGGCAUUGGAAACUGGCGGGCUGGAGUGCGGCAGAGGGGGGUGGAAUUCCGCGUGUAGCAGUGAAAUGCGUAGAGAUGCGGAGGAACACCGAUGGCGAAGGCAGCCCCCUGGGCCGACACUGACGCUCAGGCACGAAAGCGUGGGCAGCAAACAGGAUUAGAUACCCUGGUAGUCCACGCCCUAAACGAUGAUCACUGGGUGUUGGGGAAGCGAUUCCUUGGUACCGUAGCUAACGCGUGAAGUGAUCCGCCUGGGGAGUACGGCCGCAAGGUUAAAACUCAAA
rnacentral:rRNA from 1 species